rnacentral:rRNA from 1 species
AGAGCUUGAUCCUGGCUCAGGAUGAACGCUGGCGGCGUGCUUAACACAUGCAAGUCGAACGAUCCUUCGGGAUAGUGGCGGACGGGUGAGUAACGCGUGGGAAUCUGCCCUCAGGAGGGGGAUAACGGCUGGAAACGGCCGCUAAUACCCCAUAUGCCGAGAGGUGAAAUGAAUUUCGCCUGAGGAUGAGCCCGCGUCUGAUUAGCUAGUUGGUGGGGUAAAGGCCUACCAAGGCAACGAUCAGUAGCUGGUCUGAGAGGAUGAUCAGCCACACUGGGACUGAGACACGGCCCAGACUCCUACGGGAGGCAGCAGUGGGGAAUUUUCCGCAAUGGGCGAAAGCCUGACGGAGCAACGCCGCGUGAGGGAUGAAGGCCUCUGGGCUGUAAACCUCUUUUCUCAAGGAAGAAGACCUGACGGUACUUGAGGAAUAAGCCACGGCUAAUUCCGUGCCAGCAGCCGCGGUAAUACGGGAGUGGCAAGCGUUAUCCGGAAUUAUUGGGCGUAAAGCGUCCGCAGGCGGCCUUGUAAGUCUGUUGUUAAAGCGUGGAGCUCAACUCCAUUUAAGCAAUGGAAACUACAAGGCUGGAGUGUGGUAGGGGCAGAGGGAAUUCCCGGUGUAGCGGUGAAAUGCGUAGAUAUCGGGAAGAACACCAGUGGCGAAGGCGCUCUGCUGGGCCAUAACUGACGCUCAUGGACGAAAGCCAGGGGAGCGAAAGGGAUUAGAUACCCCUGUAGUCCUGGCCGUAAAUGAUGAACACUAGGUGUCGGGGGAAUCGACCCCCUCGGUGUCGUAGCCAACGCGUUAAGUGUUCCGCCUGGGGAGUACGCACGCAAGUGUGAAACUCAAAGGAAUUGACGGGGGCCCGCACAAGCGGUGGAGUAUGUGGUUUAAUUCGAUGCAACGCGAAGAACCUUACCAUGGUUUGACAUCCUGCGAACCCCUGAGAAAUCGGGGGGUGCCUUCGGGAGCGCAGAGACAGGUGGUGCAUGGCUGUCGUCAGCUCGUGUCGUGAGAUGUUGGGUUAAGUCCCGCAACGAGCGCAACCCACGUCUUUAGUUGCCAGCAUUCAGUUGGGCACUCUAGAGAGACCGCCGGUGAUAGACCGGAGGAAGGUGUGGAUGACGUCAAGUCAUCAUGCCCCUUACAUCCUGGGCUACACACGUACUACAAUGCUACGGACAAAGGGCAGCAAGCUCGCGAGAGUUAGCAAAUCCCAUAAACCGUGGCUCAGUUCAGAUCGUGGGCUGCAACUCGCCUACGUGAAGGAGGAAUCGCUAGUAAUCGCAGGUCAGCAUACUGCGGUGAAUACGUUCCCGGGCCUUGUACACACCGCCCGUCACACCAUGGAAGUUGGCCAUGCCCGAAGUCGUUACUCCAACCCUUGUGGAGGAGGACGCCGAAGGUGGGGCUGAUGACUGGGGUGAAGUCGUAACAAGGUA